rnacentral:lncRNA from 1 species
GGAGCGGAACAGCUGCCUCAGCUGUUUUUUCCGAUCGUUGACGCAGCCUGGAAGGGAAGUGAGAUGUUGGCUGGGAUGCUGUUCUUGCGGGGAGUGGAGGGCCCCAUGCACCCAUUAGGAGGGAAGAGGGGACAGCAGGAGUUGUGCAGCCACACGUGGCCAGGGUUUGCAUCCUGGCUCCACUCCUGAGCUGCCAGGGCCCUCAAGCAGUCAUUUACCUCUGUGAACGUCAGUUUCCUCAGUCAGGACAAUACCACCCACCUUGCAGAGAGAACAUAAGGACCCGGCAGCAAGAGCUGAAGCUGGCUGGCCUCCAGCCAGGUGCUGCAGGUGUCACACACGCAUAAACAUCUUAAACCCUCACAGAGCCAUAUGCAGACAAGAAAGUGGAAGCACAGAGAGGCCAUGUGCCCCAGCUCACACAAGCGGCCCCGUGGGGACUUGAACCCGGGCUCUCUGGUGCUGGAACGAAGCUCAUAACCACUGUCCCACCCACACUCACUUUAGUCCUGCUGUAGCUCAGUGAAGAUGCAUAAGGCUAGCACAGCAUCUGAAGCCCAGGAAAUGCCAGCUUUCUUGCCCUACCCAGCCUGUGUGCCAGGCACAAUUGGCUAAGAGAUGCGUUGUCCCCCACAAGUGGCCCCUGGCUCACCAGAAUGUGUCCCUGGGCAGUCCAUGUCGAGGCCACCUCCCAGCAUGUUCACGGCGUGGCCUGUUUCUGCCUGCUUUCACAGCUGAUCCUUAAGGCACCUCCACACUCAUUUAAUCUGUGCCAGGCAUAUUGAUGGCACUCAUCAGUGCUGCCUGAAUGACUUGGCCACAGUACUGACCUGGAGGUACCUGCCAUCUUAGCACUCAAACCCCUGCCGGUCAUCAAGGCCUCCCUGAGCUGAGAGCCCACUAUGUCUAUCUGGCCUUAGGAUUUUCCAAAGUGAGUCCCCUGGAACCCUACCUUAACUGUCUAUCAUUGGCUCAUUCAUCAUGCCAAAUCUUCCUGCCAGUGCAAACCCCUUUUUACAAGUUGCAGACUGAUCUCUUAUCUGCUGACCUUGUCAUCCAGAUAUCCCUGAGCAUAUCCCUAACUCAGUCCUCAAUUAUCUUCCUCCUGCCCCCAACCCCCACCUCCUGUGUUUACCACCACCCACCCAAAUACUCAACUGGAAACUUGGAAUAAUUCUAGAGACUUUUAAAACAGUGGCUCUCUACCUGCACUGAGUCAUUGGGAGGUUUUUAAAAUGUCAAUGCCCAGUCCAACCAUAUCUUUAUUUCUGAUAGGCAUAUAUUUUUUAAAGUUCCCAAGUGGUUCUGAUGUGCCACUCAGGUGAAGAACUACUGUGCCCUCCCUGGGCUACCCAAACAGGUGCCCAGGAGCCAGCAGCACUGGUAUUGGGAGUGUUUUGC